CCAGGGAGCCGGGAUCCUGUUUACACCUCUGCCAACGCCGUCCUCCAACCGCUGGGACGAAUCCUUGUAACUCCACCUGGACUUGGGAUCUGUCUCGAAGGAGGAUUUUUUAUCCAAAGUGAGGUCCAGUUUUGGAAGAUCAGUCUGUCAGGAAAGAGCUCUUCUCCACAGGAUUGUUAAGACUGAAGAUGUCCUUAAAGAGACGGCUGCUGUCCAUGUUGUUGUGCUGUGUUUACUGCGUGGCCUCGCUCUUCUGCCUCCAACCGAACCGCAACAACUGCUUCUCUCUCGGAGCUCGGAAUCUGGUGUCAGUCGUCCAGCAGCUUUACCAGCGUGUCAUCCGACUGCUGCGCACCACUCUCUGAUCCACAGCGCCUGCUGCCUGUGUUUACACCAAUAACUCCGAGACCUGUCCUACCACUGUGGCUGCUGUCAAGCAUGCCCUCCAGUAGUGCAUCAUUGCCUAUUAGAAAGAAGACGGAGGAGAAACAGAGGAAGAGGAAUGGUGUCUUUCCACCAACUCUCUGAAUUGGGCUCCAGCUGCCCUGUUGUGUUCACUACUGCAAUUCUCUGACUAUACUUUAGAUGAGGAGUUUAUUUUUUUACUGAUUAACAUUGUGGGUAUCUGCUGUGUGAGAUGCGAGUGAGGUGGAAAGGACAGUUGUCUUUGAGAUGCAUUUUAAAAGGUUCACUGUGAGCGUGCCUGCUCUGCUGUUUACCAAAUGUUGGUUGAAGUAUACAGGCUUAUGACCAAAGAAACUGAUUUAAAAAUGCAGAUGUCUUUUUUCAUUCAUUGCAUUGGUGUCAGAAAAGAUGGGUGGUGCAGGACAAAUCAACAUGUUUGGUCACAACAGGUUAGAGGUCACCUGAAGGUUAAAAAGCUGCUCGUCUGAAUGAGAAUUUGUGCUUGUAAAAUAGAA